GCUUUUGCGUACACGUGUCCAUGUCGUAAAGAUUUUCACAGAAGCUGCCAUCGAAAUAUUCGUCGUUUAAAGCGCUGCCAACUAGGCGGUACUCAGUAAUGCUGCCCUCUAUUUGACUUCCGAUAAUACUGCCGUUGUCCGAGCUUCCGCCUUCACUGACGUCAUCAUUGAGCGGGGUUCGCACAGUAUCUAUGGUGAUUGUUGUGCACGUGGUAUUCUCGGUGUCGUUACGGCGCCUGCGCGCGACCACCCUAAUGCUGUUAUCACUACGGUUAUGCUUAUUACAGUUAAUGACUUUAUCAAAGCUAUUACUAAAGUAAUAGGAGAGUUUGUAGUACACAAAUGGCCGAAUUGCCAAGUCUAUAAGCCCCACACAUUCAGUGAUUCGGCUAAUUUCAUCCACUUUCACGAAGUUAAUGAUGUCUGAGUUCUCAUGAAAUUCAUCUGCAGUCAUUUCACCGAACGUGAACUUCCUCAUCAGCUCCUUCACUUUCCUGCUUGUGUAAAAUUCGUACAACUUCACGACGAUGUACGGUAUCUUGAAUACGGCAAACGUCACAAUGAUAAUGUUGAUCAUCAUGGACAGGCGCCUCUCUUUCCGAGAGUAGCUUUCAGAAAAGUACUUUUUGGACAGAAAAUAAGUAAGGAGGUAGAUAGCGAGAAUCAAAAUGAGCUGGAAAAAUAAUGAGAAAGUCACUUGCAGCCAGAGACGCACUUCGUUACUAACUCCUAUAUCUGAGUUUUCAUCUACGCACUCGUGCGAGAAUUCGUCUUUUGUCGAUGAAAUUAUACUUGGAAUAUUUGUAAGGAGAGUCACUAUCCAGAUUGUAAUGCAGGCAGCAUAUGUUCGAUUGACGAAUUUCCUCGACUGUCCCCUAUCGGUGAGCAACAGUAGCCGUGCGAUGCUCAGCAACGCAACACUGAACGCUGCAGCGAACGUACCCACUUCGCUAAGGUACACGAUAGCCUUACAAUAGGUGGUGGUCAUUAUAUCACCAUUGUUCGUCCAUUUGAUGACGUGAAAGGGUACUUCUGACAGUACACGCAAGGUGUCCGCUAGAGCUAAGCACCCUAUGACGACGAACACCGGAAUCUUGGGAUACUUGACGAACACGAGCGUUCCCAAUACCAUGGCGUUUCCCAGCAAGCAGACGACAGCUGCGACAACGACAAUCACACACCGAACGAUGACGACUAUAUCCGACGGCUUUUCUUCGUCGUCCAUUUUUUUUUCUCUCUAGGGGGUUAUUUGUCUUUUGUAUGUUUAUCUAAAAAAAAGGAGAGAAAUUACUAGAACACUAUUUAAUAAAACAAUAAUAACGACAAUGAAUCAUAACUGAAUCUACGUCUAUGUAUAUAAUUAUAUUUUUUUUCAUUAAUUACUUUUUUUU
rnacentral:sRNA from 1 species